GGGAGCCGAAUGACCGAAAUGGUCACGUUCGGUUCUGAGAGGGGCAUUAAAUAACUUAAAGGAGGUUAUAAAAGAUGUCUACUCACAA
rfam:Candidatus Omnitrophica bacterium CG1_02_49_10 cg1_0.2_scaffold_15299_c, whole genome shotgun sequence.